rnacentral:rRNA from 1 species
UACAGAGACUGAGAGCGUUAUCCGGAUUCACUGGGCGUAAAGGGUGCGCAGGCGGCCGUGUGUGUGAGGCGUGAAAGCCCGGGGCUUAACCCCGGAAUUGCACCUCAAACUACACGGCUAGAGCAUUGGAGAGGGUAGCGGAAUUCACGGUGUAGCAGUGAAAUGCGUAGAUAUCGUGAGGAACACCAGAGGCGAAGGCGGCUACCUGGACAAUUGCUGACGCUCAGGCACGAAAGCGUGGGGAGCAAAAGGG